ACGUUCGGAAAUUUAUGUAAACAACAUUUAAUAAAAGUACUUUUAUAGAUGACAAAGUCUCAUUUCAACGAUGGAUUUCGAAGGAGAAGGAGAAUUUUAUCCACGAAGUCAUCACUACUCAGGAGCGUUAAAAUAAUUGCAUAAAAAUGAAGAUAUUUAUCGUACAUACACACGAAAUAUAAUUGUUUUCGACAUACCCUGCAUUUUAUGAAUGCAGUCUUCUUACACAUACACGGGUAUUUUAAAUCGUUAGAUUUAACAACAAA
rnacentral:lncRNA from 1 species